GACGAACGCUGGCGGCGUGCUUAACACAUGCAAGUCGAACGGAAAGGCCCCUUUGGGGGUACUCGAGUGGCGAACGGGUGAGUAACACGUGAGUAACCUGCCCUUGACUUCGGGAUAACUUCAGGAAACUGGGGCUAAUACCGGAUAGGAAUCCUUGCUGCAUGGUGGGGGUUGGAAAGCUUCGGCGGGUUUGGAUGGACUCGCGGCUUAUCAGCUUGUUGGUGGGGUAGUGGCUUACCAAGGCGUUGACGGGUGGCCGGCCUGAGGGGGCGACCGGCCACAUUGGGACUGAGAUACGGCCGAGACUCCUACGGGAGGCAGCAGUGGGGAAGAUUGCACGAUGGGCGGCAGCCUGAUGCAGCAACGCCGCGUGCGGGAUGACGGCCUUCGGGUUGUAAAACGCUUUCAGCAGGGGCGAAGCUUGUGGUGACGGUACCUGCAGAAGAAGCACCGGCUAACUACGUG
rnacentral:rRNA from 1 species